UACACACCGCCCGUCGCUACUACCGAUUGAAUGGCUUAGGGAAUCCUUCGGAUUGGCUAUUUUUUUCUGGCAACAGAAUUAAACUGCUAAAAAGUUGGGCAAACUUGGUCAUUUAGAGGAAGUAAAAGUCGUAACAAGGUUUCCGUAGGUGAACCUGCGGAAGGAUCAUUAAAGAGUAAGGGUGCUCAGCGCCCGACCUCCAACCCUUUGUUGUUAAAACUACCUUGUUGCUUUGGCGGGACCGCUCGGUCUCGAGCCGCUGGGGAUUCGUCCCAGGCGAGCGCCCGCCAGAGUUAAACCAAACUCUUGUUAUUAAACCGGUCGUCUGAGUUAAAAUUUUGAAUAAAUCAAAACUUUCAACAACGGAUCUCUUGGUUCUCGCAUCGAUGAAGAACGCAGCGAAAUGCGAUAAGUAAUGUGAAUUGCAGAAUUCAGUGAAUCAUCGAAUCUUUGAACGCACAUUGCGCCCCUUGGUAUUCCGAGGGGCAUGCCUGUUCGAGCGUCAUUACACCACUCAAGCUAUGCUUGGUAUUGGGUGCCGUCCUUAGUUGGGCGCGCCUUAAAGACCUCGGCGAGGCCACUCCGGCUUUAGGCGUAGUAGAAUUUAUUCGAACGUCUGUCAAAGGAGAGGAACUCUGCCGAUUGAAACCUUUAUUUUUCUAGGUUGACCUCGGAUCAGGUAGGGAUACCCGCUGAACUUAAGCAUAUCAAUAAGCGGAGGA
rnacentral:rRNA from 1 species